rnacentral:rRNA from 1 species
ACGAGGUAAAUAGUUGUUUCAAUGGAGGCAGUCGCAAUUCCACACAACAUACUCAUCGGAUUCGAUUAGCUAUGCGUAUAUUUGCUAUACACACGCUUUAGAAUUUAUUCUCCUUUCAACACUGUGAACAAAUCAGAGUGUAUCAAACAUGUCGUUUUUGAAUGUGCAUUGAAUGUCUUAUCAUGGGAUGUUGCACUUUCUGCGUUAAAAAUUUAUUACUGCUUCGUGCUGUAAUUAUUUUUUUACACACACACACACACACAUACGCACAUGUUGUAUGCCACGUAAAUAAUUUUUAACGGUUAAAAAUGUCGAUGGGGAUAGUUGGAGUCAACAGUACUGCUGGGCGAGAGGUGAAAUUCAUUGACCCUAGCAAGACUACCAAAAGCGAAAGCAGUUGGCUAGGCUAUACUCUUUGUGAUUAUAUAUAUUUUAUCACGCAUAAAUAUACACACACACACAUACACACUCACGUAUAUACAUGCGGUCAGUAUAAAUAUAUACACUUUACAAUGAAGAACGAAGGUUGGGGGAUCAAAGAGGAUCAGAUACCCUCGUCGUCCCAUUAAUUACAUCAAACGAUGGGCUCUCAAUUGCAUUUUCUCGUAAAUUGCAAAUUUCCUCAGCCUACAAAAUGAAUUGGCUUGAGCUCGUAUUAUUCGUAAUACGCUCGCCUCACUAUGUACGGUCUCGAUGGACGUUUCAUUUAUAUUUUUUUGCGUGUAAGCAUUAUGUUAUUCUUUGAAACAUAAGAAUGCAUUGCGUGCACUUGAUUUUCGGAGCUUUGCGCUCAAUUCUGGUGAGAUGUAAGCACUAUGUCAUACUGCCCGCAGCGUAUGCCUUCGGGCAUUUCGUUCUGUCGUGUGUAGUUGACAAUUUUGGUGUGAAGCACGCUUUAGCACGCGCUUACUGCAGAAAUGUCUGAGACAUUCCCUUCCGGGGGUAGUAUGCACGCAAGUGUGAAACUUGAAGGAAUUGACGGAAGGGCACCACAAGAACGCGUGGAGCAUGUGGCUUAAUUUGACCCAACGCGGGAAAUCUUACCGGGUCCGGACACACUGAGGAUUGACAGGCAAUAUUAAUACACACACAUAUAUCUUGCAUAUUUUAUUAUGUUAAAUAUGCUAGUCCUUUCAUGAUUAUGUGAUAGGUGGUGCAUGGCCGUUCUUAGUUCGUGGAGUGAUCUGUCUGCUUAAUUGCGUUUCACCAAGGGCCUAUAAUUUUACGUGUGUUGCGGCACUUUGACCCCUCUUUUUUUAAAGAGCGCGUGUCUUGGUUUGCUUAGCUCGCACAAUUAGGUCCUGAAAGCAACGAACGUGACCGCAACCUCUUGUUUACCAAACGUGCAUAUGUAAUUUUUUCUAAAAAUUGCUUUGCGCGCAAAAAGGCUUUUUAAACUAGAGGGACCGCUGUUACUUUCUUAAACCAGAGGAAGGUUGCGGCAAUAACAGGUCUGUGAUGCCCUUAGAUGUUCCGGGCCUGCACACGUGCUACAAUGAUUAUUGCAGUGAGCAUCUCAUUUUAUUAUUCACACCGCAUGCGCGAGACCAUUUAUUCUCUCUUCGCGAGUGUUUUAAAUGUGUAUCUCUGCGCGCGGUAAAGCCUACUUCGAAAGUAAGCGGGUAAUCAAUUAGAAGUAAUGAUUUCCUAUAUUUUAUUGUAUCACACACUCUCGUAUGGUAUAAUAAUUCUGCACACAUAUAUACGGCAUCUUUACCCGGGUAGCCUUGUAUGUGCGAUUGUCAAUUCAUGGUGGGGACAGACCAUUGUUAAUUGUUGGUCUCGGUCUUAACUAGGAAUGCCUUGUACUGGUCUUUGGUUCAACAAACCACCAGGAAUACGUCCCUGCCCUUUGUACACACCGCCCGUCGCUCUUACCGAUGGACUUCUCUGUGAGUUUGAGGGCUGGGAACGCAUAUAAUUUCGAUUAUUUGCACACCUAUGGAAACUUAAACGAACAGUGUGGUCUAAAGGAAAGAGAAGUCGUAAC